rfam:Opisthocomus hoazin contig101343, whole genome shotgun sequence.
CCAACGGCUCUUUUCAGAGCCACCCACUCUCUUACCAAAGAGCUG